rnacentral:lncRNA from 1 species
UCACAGCUUCACCCCCCUGCCCCAGCCACAGGGUAAACAACAACAAGGUUGGGACAAAGGAGGGGUUAGAAGAGAAGACAAACCGGCCCUCAUUCUACUCAUUCUGGGUGGAACAGGAAGCUCGGCUCCUGGUUGUUAAGCUUGAAGGUUGCUGAUUGGAAUCUGUGGGGAUGGAUGGAGAUCCUCCCUUACAGGACCCGAUGCCCAGGGCUGACUAAACAGGGAGCUGUUCUACCAAAGGCGUAGGAACCACUACAGAAAAAAGUGAAAGAUACACAGGGUAGACGUCCUCCAGAAAGCAAGGAAACUUGAGCAUCCAGCACGCAGAGGACACCCACUCUGCCCGUGUGCCUAUUUUUGCCUCCAAAUCCUCACCUGGGCAUCAGUACCUCACCUGAGCCGCCAACAGCCAGGAUCCUGUGCCAAGCCAGUGCCAUUCUGGGAUUUAACUCAGCAGCUACAAGCCAGAAAGAAACUGGGGACUCCAGGGCCAGUUCCUGAGCCUGCACGCCAGCCGGAGGGAGAGCGCCCAGCAGACGCCGCGGGUUGCGCCCCGGGCGCGUCCCUCCGCUGCCCUUCGUGGGCGCGAGUGGCAGCCGGCUGCGGGCCUGGCGGGGAGCCGGUCAGCCUGACAUCCCCAGCAGAUGUCAGUCUGGGAACAGGAAGCAGCGUGUUUGGGGUUUCUAAAAAUAAAUAAAUAAAUAACCACAACCACAAGAACAGUCUUUUAUUGCAAAGUAAAAAAAUGCUUUAAUGACUAGAGCGUUUAGCACAUUGGG